rnacentral:tRNA from 1 species
GCGGGUGUCGUAUAACGGUUAUUACCCCAGCUUCCCAAGCUGGAGACGAGGGUUCGACUCCCUUCACCCGCUCCA